rnacentral:rRNA from 1 species
GACGAACGCUGGCGGCGUGCUUAACACAUGCAAGUCGAACGGAAAGGCCCUGCUUUUGUGGGGUGCUCGAGUGGCGAACGGGUGAGUAACACGUGAGUAACCUGCCCUUGACUUUGGGAUAACUUCAGGAAACUGGGGCUAAUACCGGAUAGGAGCUCCUGCUGCAUGGUGGGGGUUGGAAAGUUUCGGCGGUUGGGGAUGGACUCGCGGCUUAUCAGCUUGUUGGUGGGGUAGUGGCUUACCAAGGCUUUGACGGGUAGCCGGCCUGAGAGGGUGACCGGCCACAUUGGGACUGCGAUACGGCCCAGACUCCUACGGGAGGCAGCAGUGGGGAAUAUUGCACAAUGGGCGGAAGCCUGAUGCAGCAACGCCGCGUGCGGGAUGACGGCCUUCGGGUUGUAAACCGCUUUCGCCUGUGACGAAGCGUGAGUGACGGUAAUGGGUAAAGAAGCACCAGCUAACUACGUG